UACGUAGGGUGCGAGCGUUGUCCGGAAUUAUUGGGCGUAAAGAGCUCGUAGGCGGUUUGUCGCGUCUGCUGUGAAAUCCCGAGGCUCAACCUCGGGCCUGCAGUGGGUACGGGCAGACUGGAGUGCGGUAGGGGAGAAUGGAACUCCUGGUGUAGCGGUGGAAUGCGCAGAUAUCAGGAAGAACACCGAUGGCGAAGGCAGUUCUCUGGGCCGUAACUGACGCUGAGAGACGAAAGCUAGGGGAGCGAAUGGG
rnacentral:rRNA from 1 species